CGCAUGCGCAGAGCCUCUUCCAGCCCUACUCCUGAACCCUAGCGCUGCGAUGGCGGAGCGGCUGCUUCUUUCUGCCUUUGCCGGCUUCGUUUCGCUCUGCGCGUCUGUUUCCGCUCAACCGGGCGAGUUUAAAAGCAACGAAAGACCCUAUGAGGUGCUGCAGAGUCAGAACUUAGUGCUGUUGGUCAGCGUCCUGUCCGCCCUGCUGCUGGCCAUGCUGAUCAUGGCGGUGUGCGUCUACAAGCCCCUACGGAGACGGUGAGAGAGGGGCCGGGAUGGACCGAUCAGCGGGACCACCGAACCCAGGACCAUAAAGACGUCCCUCUGCGGGAACACGACACGGAUGCACCGUCAAUCAAUGCCUGCUGUUUGUUUACACUUUAGAAGGACCGAAACUUUUCUUCAGGCUAGCUUUGCAGGGUUUCUCGGUCUGGUCUUUGGAGAUGGUCCACAUUUCUGCUCCCACUACCGGUGAUUCAGUGAAAAAAUGAGGGCUACAGACCGGAUUGAGAGCAGCAUGUUCUGCAUCACCCCACGUUGUUGGUCUUUUCCACCAUUAAGUUGUAGACUACUGAAUCAGUUCUGCUGUCUGGUGUAUUUCGAAAGCUGCUACGUUAUUUUUACAGCGUAUUACCUGCACUUUGAUUUUGUUCGAUUCUCCUUUUGAAUGUCGUUUGUAGUAUUUAUUGUCAGAUGUUUAUUUGAUGAUUUGUAGGGAUUUUGAUAUGUGGAAUAAAUUCCUUUCCAAAG